rnacentral:rRNA from 1 species
UCGAUGAAGAACGCAGCGAAAUAGCGAUAAGUAAUGUGAAUUGCAGAAUUCAGUGAAUCAUCGAAUCUUUGAACGCACCUUGCGCCCCUUGGCUAUUCCGAGGGGCAUGCCUGUUUGAGUAUCAUGAACACCUCAACUCUCAUGGUUUGCCAUGAUGAGUUGGACUCUGGGGGUUUUGCUGGCCUGUGGUCGGCUCCUCUCAAAUUAAUCAGCCUCCCAGUGUUUGGUGGCAUCACGGGUGUGAUAAAUAUCUACGCUCGCUGUUGUCUGCCAGGUAACCUUUGGUCACAAAGGUUUGCUGGAGCUCACAGAUGUCUCUCCUCAGCGAGGACAGUCUUUUAACGUUCGAUCUCAAAUCAGGUAGGACUACCCGCUGAACUUAA